CAUGGCUCAGGAUGAACGCUGGCGGCGUGCCUAAUACAUGCAAGUCGAGCGAAUGGAUUAAGAGCUUGCUCUUAUGAAGUUAGCGGCGGACGGGUGAGUAACACGUGGGUAACCUGCCCAUAAGACUGGGAUAACUCCGGGAAACCGGGGCUAAUACCGGAUAACAUUUUGAACCGCAUGGUUCGAAAUUGAAAGGCGGCUUCGGCUGUCACUUAUGGAUGGACCCGCGUCGCAUUAGCUAGUUGGUGAGGUAACGGCUCACCAAGGCAACGAUGCGUAGCCGACCUGAGAGGGUGAUCGGCCACACUGGGACUGAGACACGGCCCAGACUCCUACGGGAGGCAGCAGUAGGGAAUCUUCCGCAAUGGACGAAAGUCUGACGGAGCAACGCCGCGUGAGUGAUGAAGGCUUUCGGGUCGUAAAACUCUGUUGUUAGGGAAGAACAAGUGCUAGUUGAAUAAGCUGGCACCU
rnacentral:rRNA from 1 species